rnacentral:lncRNA from 1 species
AAACAAUUAAUAAUUCGGCCUCCCAGCGGGAUCCCUGAGGAGCCAGCUCGUUGCCAUCCCUGCUUGAAAGUGCAGGGAAGCUGCAAGCAAUGUACCCAGAGCCGGCAGUGCGCGGCUACGGGGAGUGGUGGAUGGCGAAUUGCUGUGAAAAGAGAGAAGGAGGCGUUUCUACAGCGCCCCGUGCAAGGCUGCGAUCGUGGUCCCAAAGCGCGGACAGCGAGAUCGGGGGCAGCGUGGUUCCCUGGUUCUUAAAUGGGCUCCCCGCAGCAAGGCUCGCAGGCUGCGCCCGUGGUUUGAGGGCUUUUCUCCUUGUGAUGAAAUGGGGCCUGAAGGUAUCACAGCCUCAGCUCUCCUCGUUAAGGCAGUGGUGCUGAUAGCAGGCAAUGGGGUGCUACCGGGUUAUAGCACAAAUCCGACCUUUGGAAACCAAGGUCUCUGUGAUCCCCAAAUCCCAAAGUCCCGCCGGACCCAGUGGUGUAAGGAGCUCCUGCACUGAGGGCAGGGCACGUGGCUUCGUCCUGGCACAAGGAGCUUCUCUUCCUAUUCCCUACAGCGUGUGUGAGCAGGAGAUACAUCUACAGAGGUGUUAUCCAGUGACAAAGCAUUUGAGAGGAGUCUGGCCUGAAUCUAGGACUUUUGUUUUGGAGACCACGCAGCCUGGCUGCCCAGAACAGCCAAGGACUGGAAUCCUUUUAGCGUUUAACACUUCCUUGGCAAACAUCCUGCUGCUCUAUUGUUGCCCUCCUGAAGUGCAGGAGUUCCUUUUUGAGGAGGAAAAGAUCUCCAAACUCAGGGAAGUAUUUGCACUUGUGUUUGGUGACAUCUGCUUUGCUGCAAGCAUCACUGAGUGCAGAUCUACACAGCCUUUUAACCCUAUUCUCUAG